AACACAGAGAUUGCAACUGAGAGAGGGAGAGACAGAGACAGAGAAGCUGAGACUGAGAGAGACACUCAGAGAGAGGAGAGAAACAGAGAUUGGCAGGUAGAGACAGGAAAUGAAAGACAAACAGAAAGACACUAAGGGAGACGGAAAGAGACAAGAGAGCAUUCGAACUCCUGGCCGAGGGGCAGGCAGAAGAGGACACGAUGCUGUGGGGAACCCCAGCUGCGGCCUGUACCCUGAGCCCUGGUACCGCUUCUCUCACCCUGGUCAGGAGGUUCGGGAACUCCAGGAGCAGCUGGCCCGACAGCAGGUCCAUGUGGAGCUUGACGUGGCCAAGCCAGACCUCACCGCAGCCCUGAAAGAGAUCCGCACGCAGUACGAGGCAAUGGCGUCCAGCAACAUGCAUGAAGCCGAGGAGUGGUACCGCUCCAAGUUUGCAGACCUGACAGACGCUGCUGCCCGCAACGCGGAGCUGCUCCGCCAGGCCAAGCACGAAGCCAACGACUACCGGCGUCAGUUGCAGUCCUUGACCUGCGACCUGGAGUCUCUGCGCGGCACG
rnacentral:sRNA from 1 species